GGCCCGCCCCACCGGGCUGGCGGCAUUCAACGAUGCACAGGGGAACCCGGUCGGAUUCCGGGACUGACGCGCAACGGUGGGUGGACGCCUCCGAGGAGACAUGCCACGAGUCCGAGCACCUUGCCAGCCCCCGUAAAGAGCC
rnacentral:ncRNA from 2 species